GACGAACGCUGGCGGCGUGCUUAACACAUGCAAGUCGAACGGUAAGGCCCCUCGGGGUACACGAGUGGCGAACGGGUGAGUAACACGUGGGUGAUCUGCCCUGCACUUCGGGAUAAGCCUGGGAAACUGGGUCUAAUACCGGAUAGGACCCUGGGAUGCAUGACCUGGGGUGGAAAGCUUUUGCGGUGUGGGAUGGACCCGCGGCCUAUCAGCUUGUUGGUGGGGUGAUGGCCUACCAAGGCGACGACGGGUAGCAGGCCUGAGAGGGUGACCGGCCACACUGGGACUGAGAUACGGCCCAGACUCCUACGGGAGGCAGCAGUGGGGAAUAUUGCACAAUGGGCGCAAGCCUGAUGCAGCGACGCCGCGUGAGGGAUGACGGCCUUCGGGUUGUAAACCUCUUUCAGCACCGACGAAGCGCAAGUGACGGUAGGUGCAGAAGAAGGACCGGCCAACUACGUGCCAGCAGCCGCCGUAA
rnacentral:rRNA from 1 species